GACCUCUAAUCGGAAAAGACUACCCGCUGAGUUUAAGCAUAUCACUAAGCGGAGGAGAAGAAA
rnacentral:rRNA from 2 species